CUAAGGUAACCAUACCUGGUCAUCCCAGACUUUGUCAUUGUUGUAGAUUACAGCAGCAGCAAAGCUCCGUGCAGGGUUGAUGCCGGUGCCGGUAAUGGGGAUGGUGGCCAAGUGCACCAUAAAUACCGCAAACCCUAUUGUGCAAGUGACUAAAAGAACGGCUCGCUAUCCUUUUAACCGUAGUACCACACAACGCCAUUGAUAAGGUGCAUUCCUGUUUGGAAAAUACAAGGGUCACUCACGCCCGCAUAUCUUUUGACUAUGAAUGCAUAUGAAACUGUUAUGGCACUUACAUGCAUCUAUGAUCGAAAAUCACUUAUCAUGGCGGGCAAUUGAUCAUAAAAAUAAACAUUACACGUGAGAAUCCCAAUGGCAUUAACUUUAUGGUGAAGCAAAUUGAAGUCAUUGCUCACAGGCACGUGGGAGCCGCGUGCGCAGAUCUUGGGGUCGGUGGCUGAGAAGACGGUGUAAAGUGUAAACCAGCAGAAAAGUACCAACGAUCUCAGCUCCCAAAGCAGUGCCUUUGGAGUAAUCAUGUGCCCCUGAGUUGGCGCCACCGCCAUGCGUGUAGUAGAAAUGCUUCAUCAAAGUUUUCACUAACCCGACGCCGCAAAUGCCUCCCAAGCAUUGCGCAACCGUGUACGCCGCCGCCCGAGCCAACGACACUUUCCUCGCUACCAGCAGCCCAAAAGUCACGGCCGGAUUGACGUGCCCACCUGAGCAAGAUAUGUUAAAAAAGAUUCCGGCUGUGCAGUAAACCAGGACGAAGAUCAUGCCGCGGAAGGCCGACGCCGUCGCACUGGUUUGCUUGCUUCUUGUGACCGAUGACGGUGGCAACUGUGACGUAGAGGAAGAGAAGCGUGGCAACAAACUCUGCUAUCACAGCUCUGAAGAACGGCCAGCUUUUGAGCUCUUCCAUGUCCAAGAGAGGAACCAGUGGUGGCUCUACGUAGUCCUUAGACAUUUCUUCUUCUCCUCUCUCUUGCUCUCUGGUUUCUAACUUUCUAUUUCCUCGGGGUUAAAGAUGGAGAUUUUAUAAGGAUUAUAAAUAAAGGUUGAAGUGGAUUUAAAUCCUUGGCAUAACGUGUGUAGUACAUUGUUGAUCAGAAAGUAUGGUAUUUUAUAUCAUGAGACCAUGUGACAUUUUCAUUGAGAGUUUGUUGUCUAAUCGAUUUUUUUUUUUUUUUUUUUUUUUUUUUUUUUGGCGUAGCAUGUUAUUCAUUUAUGUAUUAUAAAUUAUCCAAAUGAAGAACUCAGAUAUUACGAUUGCUAGGAUUCUUUUCAAUAUCCGAGAGUUAGCUAUAGAAGUGGAGGCCAUCAAGCAUGCUCUUAUGCCUCGAGCUUGCAAUAGGGUGGCUCACUCGUUGACUUCGUUUGUAAAAAUGAGGGACCAUUAUAGAUGGGGUUUCUCUUUUCCGAAUUUCUGUUGAAUAUUUUUGCUGAGUAAUUCAAUAAAAAUUUAUCUAUUGACAAAGAAUAUUAUUAAAUAAU